rnacentral:rRNA from 1 species
CCUACGGGAGGCAGCAGUGAGGAAUAUUGGUCAAUGGACGCAAGUCUGAACCAGCCAUGCCGCGUGCAGGAUGACGGCUCUAUGAGUUGUAAACUGCUUUUGUACGAGGGUAAACCCCGAUACGUGUAUCGGGUUGAAAGUAUCGUACGAAUAAGGAUCGGCUAACUCCGUGCCAGCAGCCGCGGUAAUACGGAGGAUCCGGGCGUUAUCCGGAUUUAUUGGGUUUAAAGGGUGCGUAGGCGGUUUGAUAAGUUAGAUGUGAAAUGUCGGGGCUCAACCCCGAAACUGCCUCUAAUACUGUUAGACUAGAGAAUAGUUGCGGUAGGCGGAAUGUAUGGUGUAGCGGUGAAAUGCUUAGAGAUCAUACAGAACACCGAUUGCGAAGGCAGCUUACCAAACUAUAUCUGACGUUGAGGCACGAAAGCGUGGGUAGCAAACAGGAUUAGAUACCCCAGUAGUC